rnacentral:rRNA from 1 species
GAUGAACGCUGGCGGCGUGCCUAAUACAUGCAAGUCGAGCGAACAGACGAGGAGCUUGCUCCUUUGACGUUAGCGGCGGACGGGUGAGUAACACGUGGGUAACCUACCUAUAAGACUGGGAUAACUUCGGGAAACAGGAGCUAAUACCGGAUAAUAUUUCGAACCGCAUGGUUCGAUAGUGAAAGAUGGCUUUGCUAUCACUUAUAGAUGGACCUGCGCCGUAUUAGCUAGUUGGUAAGGUAACGGCUUACCAAGGCAACGAUACGUAGCCGACCUGAGAGGGUGAUCGGCCACACUGGAACUGAGACACGGUCCAGACUCCUACGGGAGGCAGCAGUAGGGAAUCUUCCGCAAUGGGCGAAAGCCUGACGGAGCAACGCCGCGUGAGUGAUGAAGGUCUUCGGAUCGUAAAACUCUGUUAUUAGGGAAGAACAAACGUGUAAGUAACUGUGCACGUCUUGACGGUACCUAAUCAGAAAGCCACGGCUAACUACGUG